rnacentral:lncRNA from 1 species
UCCCAGGCUGGAGUGCAGUGUCAUGAGCUUGGUUCACUACAGCCUCCAUCUUCUGUGCUUAAGAACCCUUCCCUCUCAACCUCCAGGGUAGCUGAGACUACAGGCAACAUUCGAAACCCAGGUGCCACUCCUUCAGGAAGGUACCUUCAAGCUCCAAGGACUCUUAUCCUCUUUCUCCUUCCCCACUACCUAGUCAUUAGAGCGUCAGCAUCCCCUUCUUGAAAGGAAGAUGCCUGUUUUUCACAUAUCCCAGAAAGCCCCAUUUUAGGACAGCAUUUAGCAGAAUAUAUUCAGGACCCCACUAACCUUUUCGGAAGACAUGAAUUCCAGAUGAUAUAAGGCUCCAUCAGGAACUUUGCAGGACCGUGCACUCUGUUGAUACUCACAUGGUGGAAUUAUAUUGCCCUUGGCCAACCUAAAGCCAUCAAGAUAGCAGGUUUGGAAUAAUUCACUGUUGAAGUCUUCUUGAGCUGAGCAGUCAUGUGAGCUUGGAAGAUGAUCCCUCUCCAGCUGAUCCUUCAGGUCAGGCCAUCAUCUACAUCUGGAUUCCUGACCCAGAGAAACUAUGAGUAAUGUAUGCUGCUUUUGAGCCACUAAGCUAUAUAGUAAUAGGCUAUGCUUCAAUAAACAAUAAUACACUUGA